rnacentral:rRNA from 1 species
AGAGUUUGAUCCUGGCUCAGGAUGAAUGCUGGCGGCGUGCCUAAUACAUGCAAGUCGAGCGGUAACAGGGGGUCUCACCGUUUCCUUGACACACCUAGCGUAUUAUCGUAUGUUGUUGACUUCGAGGGAACAGUGAGACCCUGCUGACGAGCGGCGGACGGCUGAGUAACGCGUGGGAACGGACCCCAAACUGAGGGAUAACUACUCGAAAGAGUGGCUAAUACCGCAUGUGAUCUUCGGAUUAAAGGAUUUAUCCGGUUUGGGACUGGCCUGCGUACGAUUAGAUAGUUGGUAGGGUAACGGCCUACCAAGUCGACGAUCGUUAGAUGGUUUGAGAAGAUGAUCAUCCAGACUGGGACUGAGACACGGCCCAGACUCCUACGGGAGGCAGCAGUAGGGAAUCUUUCACAAUGGGCGAAAGCCUGAUGGAGCAACGCCGCGUGCAGGAUGACGGCCUUCGGGUUGUAAACUGCUUUUAUAACCGAGAAAUAUGAUGGUAAGUUAUGAAUAAGGACCGGCUAACUACGUGCCAGCAGCCGCGGUCAUACGUAGGGUCCAAGCAUUAUCCGGAUUGACUGGGUGUAAAGAGUUGCGUAGGUGGCAGGGUAAGUAGAUAGUGAAAUCUGGUGGCUCAACCAUUCAGACUAUUAUCUAAACUGCUCCGCUCGAGAGCGUUAGGGGUAGCUGGAAUUUCUAGUGUAGGAGUGAAAUCCGUAGAUAUUAGAAAGAACACCGAUAGCGUAUGCAGGCUACUGGGACGUUUCUGACACUAAGGCACGAAAGCGUG